rnacentral:rRNA from 1 species
AUGAUCAUUCAAGUUCCUUUUGCAAAUUCAAGUUUUUGUAAUGAACUACUUAUAAGAUGGAGUAUGUUCCUUUUGCCUCCCUUGUUAAGCAGUAGUUGUAGAGUACUCCUUUUCAAGAUGUCACCAAGAGUGGCUCCGACUGAGUUAUCACCAAGAGGGGGUCGGCACAGAUUUGUCACCUCUUCAAGCGUCAUGGCAUGUCGGCGCUUGUCACCUCUUCUGGGCCAAAAUCUAACUUUGAAUCAUGCGACCAGGUUAGGAUGUGAAUUCUGUUCCGUCAGCACUAUUUUAUCAUUAUGA